UACGGAAGAUCCAAGCGUUAUCCGGAAUUACUGGGCGUAAAGAGUUGCGUAGGUGGCAUGUAAAGCGAACAGUGAAAGGUCCCGGCUCAACCGGGGAUACAUUGUUCGAACUCACAAGCUAGAGCAUGAGAGAGGUACCUGGAAUUCCCAGUGUAGGAGUGAAAUCCGUAGAUAUUGGGAGGAACACCGAUGGCGUAGGCAGGGUACUGGCUUAUUGCUGACACUAAGGCACGAAAGCGUGGGGAGCGAACGGG
rnacentral:rRNA from 1 species